rnacentral:misc_RNA from 1 species
GCAAACUUGGUCAUUUAGAGGAAGUAAAAGUCGUAACAAGGUUUCCGUAGGUGAACCUGCGGAAGGAUCAUUAUCAAAAGUCGGUCGGGAGCCCUUGUGGCUGCCGUCUACACCCAAGUCUUUUGUGUACUCUUUGUUUCCUCGGCGGCGUAAGUCGCCGAAUGGACAAACCAAAACCUUUUUGUAAUUGCAAUCAGCGUCAUUAAAUAUAAUAAUAUUUACAACUUUCAACAACGGAUCUCUUGGUUCUGGCAUCGAUGAAGAACGCAGC